rnacentral:rRNA from 1 species
GACAGAGGGUGCAAACGUUGUUCGGAUUUACUGGGCGUAAAGCGCGUGUAGGCUGCUCGGAAAGUCGGGUGUGAAAGCCCUGGGCUCAACCUAGGAAGUGCACUCGAAACUUCCGAGCUGGAGUGCUGGAGAGGAAGGCGGAAUUCUCGGUGUAGAGGUGAAAUUCGUAGAUAUCGAGAGGAACACCGGUGGCGAAGGCGGCCUUCUGGACAGCCACUGACGCUGAGACGCGAAAGCGUGGGGAGCAAACAGG